GUGGGCUGUAGAUCAGUGGUAGAGCACUUGCCUAGUAUGUGUGAGGCACUAGGUUCAAUCCUCAGCACCACU
rnacentral:tRNA from 1 species